GGACCCGCACAAGCGGUGGAGCAUGUGGUUUAAUUCGAUGCAACGCGAAGAACCUUACCUGGUCUUGACAUCCUGCGAACUUUCUAGAAAUAGAUUGGUGCCUUCGGGAACGCAGUGACAGGUGCUGCAUGGCUGUCGUCAGCUCGUGUCGUGAGAUGUUGGGUUAAGUCCCGUAACGAGCGCAACCCCUAUCCUUAUUUGCCAGCACAUUAUGGUGGGAACUAUAAGGAGACUGCCGGUGAUAAACCGGAGGAAGGCGGGGACGACGUCAAGUCAUCAUGGCCCUUACGACCAGGGCUACACACGUGCUACAAUGGGAUGGACAAAGAGUCGCGAAGCCGCGAGUGUAG
rnacentral:rRNA from 1 species